UACGUAGGGUGCGAGCGUUAAUCGGAAUUACUGGGCGUAAAGCGUGCGCAGGCGGUUCGUUAAGUUCGUUGUGAAAGCCCCGGGCUCAACCUGGGAACUGCGAUGGAAACUGGCGGGCUUGAGUGUGGCAGAGGGGGGUGGAAUUCCGCGUGUAGCAGUGAAAUGCGUAGAGAUGCGGAGGAACACCGAUGGCGAAGGCAGCCCCCUGGGCCAACACUGACGCUCAGGCACGAAAGCGUGGGGAGCAAACAGG
rnacentral:rRNA from 1 species